AUGUUUUGUCUUAAGAGAAAAUACGCUUUACACGUCUCACUCCACCAAGCUUUAAUUCAGGUACCUGGAUAGCAUCGGUUCGGGAGGUAAUAUAUGCGGAAGAAGCGCCGACCUCACGGUCUGGCGUGCAUUUAUCAGACCAAGACCAACCCGGGGUUCGCCCCGGUCCCUUUGGUGACUCAGCCGAUCUUACGGUCUUCGUAACGGCAAAAGAUCAUUCGAAUGUCUGCCCUAUCAACUUUCGAUGGUAGGUUCUGUGCCUACCAUGGUGGCAACGGGUGACGGGGAAUCAGGGUUCGGUUCCGGAGAGGGAGCCUGAGAAACGGCUACCACAUCCAAGGAAGACA
rnacentral:ncRNA from 1 species